UACGGAGGGUGCAAGCGUUAUCCGGAUUCACUGGGUUUAAAGGGUGCGUAGGUGGGUGUGAAGUCAGUGGUGAAAUCCCCGAGCUUAACUUGGGAACUGCCAUUGAUACUAUCAGUCUUGAAUACUGUGGAGGUUAGCGGAAUAUGUCAUGUAGCGGUGAAAUGCUUAGAUAUGACAUAGAACACCAAUUGCGAAGGCAGCUGGCUACACAAUUAUUGACACUGAGGCUCGAAAGCGUGGGGGAUCAAAACAGGG
rnacentral:rRNA from 1 species